rfam:Myotis davidii contig183475, whole genome shotgun sequence.
CUCACGCAGGGCGCCUGUAGCUCAGGGGCAGGCCCAAGCCCUGCGCCCGAAGAGUCAGUCCAGCCCCUGACGGGGCUUCCCAUCCCAAGGGGCUUCGCACUGGCCCCCACCGAGGCAGGGGACCGGACCGGACCAGAGCUCGGCUGGAUGUUACAGGCGUGCAAA